UGGACCAGUAAACUAUGGAAGACUUCAUGAGC
rnacentral:piRNA from 1 species